rnacentral:rRNA from 1 species
AACGAACGCUGGCGGCAGGCCUAAUACAUGCAAGUCGAGCGCCCCGCAAGGGGAGCGGCGCACGGGUGCGUAACACGUGGGAAUAUGCCCUUGGGUGCGGAACAACAUCGGGAAACUGAUGCUAAUACCGCAUAAUGACUCCGGUCCAAAGAUUUAUCGCCCAAGGAUUAGCCCGCGUUGGAUUAGCUAGUUGGUGAGGUAACGGCUCACCAAGGCAACGAUCCAUAGCUGGUCUGAGAGGACGACCAGCCACACUGGGACUGAGACACGGCCCGGACUACUACGGGAGGCAGCAGUAAGGAAUAUUGGACAAUGGGGGAAACCCUGAUCCAGCCAUGCCGCGUGAGUGAUGAAGGCCUUCGGGUUGUAAAGCUCUUUUAGAUGUGACGAUGAUGACGGUAACAUCAGAAAAAGCUCCGGCUAACUUCGUGCCAGCCGCCGCAGUAA